rnacentral:SRP_RNA from 1 species
GAGAAAAUUAAUUCAAGCCACAUGCCUCAG